UGAUUUUUAAAACAGAUCAGUUUAAAAGAGAUUGCAAGGAGAAGGAGUGCUUGAUCCAAUUUAGGUGAAUUAUUAGCAACAAAUUUGUUAGAAAGCAGGUCAUUAAGCUACAGAAUGUCAGGCAGGAGUAAAAAGGGAGUUAAACAGUACAUAAUAGAGUUCCUGCAUUUCAAGAUAAAAAACUGAUUUCCGGAAAGGCAGAGAAAAGUAAUUAAGAUCAAUCAAAAAUUAUUUCAGAAUCACACCUGGAGUCCAGUUCCCUAGGUUCCCAGCCAGCCCUCUACUCUUUCUCCUGCAGCCUAGUCUUGUUUUCAGGAGUGACUGAGAAAGUUUGUGGUCUCUGUUGAGCUGGUCUGGAAUACUAGGGAGCUGUUUCCAGAAGCAGUGAAGCCAACAUAAAAUUUCAGAAGGGUCAUUGCAGUCACUGAGGGGUGAACCCUAUUUUUCAAGAAGGUGGGUGGGCCAUAAUAUCAAACAGGUGUGAGGUAGGUGAUAGGUAGCACCUGCACAGUAUAGCAUUGGCAAGAACUCAGAGACACCUGGAAACAGUAGACUGUAGAAAUUGUCCAACAAGGUAAUGAGUAGUUGCCAAACUGGCAGGAGAGAGUAAAGUCACUCAGGUCUGCUAGAUAUGUAUGUGUUAAAAUGGCUUCAUAUUAUUGCUGAUUUCAGUGAUGGAAAAGUCUAGAGACAACUCCAGGACUAACUACAAUUAAAUAGGCUGAUCCAGAAUGGAGAAAUGUGUUCUAUAGUAUGCAGCUAUUAUGCAUAUAAAGUAGCUCAAACAUUUUAAAGGGGAGUUUGGACAGGAAGCACAAAAAGAUUUAAAGAUCUGCCUGACCUUUGAGCCAUGAAUUCUAUUCUAGAAAUUCAUUAAGAAUUAUUCAUGCAUGUACACAAAGAUUUAUACAUCAAGAUAUUCAUUUCAGCAUUGUAUCUAAUAGUAAAAAGCUGGUAAGAACCUAAAUGCAUACUAGUGAAUAACGGCAUCCAUAAUUGAUGGAGUGUCCAUGUAUUAAAAUUACACAGCAGCUAUUAAAGGAAAUAUUACAGAAGAAUUAUUAAUCAUAUUGAAAAAUGAUCAGGUUAUAUUUAAAAAGCAAGCCCCAAACAAUAUAAGCAAAAAAGAAUCUUGUGAAUAAUACAUGCAUGAAAGUCGAUUUAUAUAAAAAAAAUCCUGAUACAAAAUUCAGCAAAAUAUAACUGGUUAUUUCUUCCUGUUCACAUGAUAUUGUUCAUUUGCUUUUUUGAAUGGCUCUGUUUUUUCUUAUUAUAUAAUAUGUAAAGUUAUUUCAUUUUUAAAACAUUUUAUCACGAUAUUAAAAAUACAGAAGUCAGUGAAGAUGCUGCUGAGCUAAGGAAAAAUGUGUGUCCUGCUUAUCCAGAACAUUCCUCAGGCUCUACACAGAUCCCAGAUGAACAGUAAAAUGGUGGGGGCCUCCCUUCCAUGUUGAAGUAGGGUCCAUGGAGAUAAAUGCUUCAACGUGCCUGGUAGAAGGCUGAUGCCAAGGAACCCUAAACCUUUAGAGUAAAUGGAGAGGACAGAACUACUCUCCUAUCUUCUCACCCUUCCUCCCUUUAGUCAUUCUUGCCUCUCUACAAAGGUUAGUUGGAAUGCUUUACCGAAAAGUGCUUUGUAAGCACAGACUCCAUAAAAUCAACCUUAGCUUCUUAAAAACUGUCUGGUCACAACUGGGUCUAUGUGUCAUUUUCAAAUAUGACAUUUCAGUCAAAGCCUUGGUUAUAGAACCAAGAUUUUCAGUUAUAUCCAGUUACAAGAAGGAUAAAUUCCUAUUGGACAUAUGCAAAUAAUUAUGUCGUCAUGAAAAUAAGAAUCCUCAAUGAGUGCCAAAUUCUAGAGGGAUUAGGCAAGGAGAAAACGAUAAAUGUUCUAUUUCUGUUUAUAAAAGUAUAAUCUAAUUAUUGUUGCAAGUUAUGGAUACUGUAAAAGAGAAAGAAGUGUCUUAUAAUCCAUUCAGAAAAUAGAACAUAAAAGAAUCAACAAUGUUUCAAGUAAAAAUCCAUAAAUAUUAUAAUUGCACUUCAUCAGUUCAUCUGGUACCUGUAAUUAAUUUUUGUUCUGGUUGAUCUUGGGUUAGCAGUUUUAUCAACCAAUCAGUUUCUCCAAUAUAGUUCUGGAAAUCCUUACUCAGUCUAGUGGGAUGGUCUUAAAGUCAUUUAAGCAAUGCAAUCAGAAGCCUGCACUCUAGUGUAUCUGUUAUAGAUUUUUUUCCAUGUGUCCCUGAGACUUUUCCUUUUUAUUUAAGAUUAAGCAUUUUGGCUUGUAACUUAUUAAAAACGUUUUCAUACGGGAAUCAGAGUAAAACAAAAACUAUCUGUGCAUGACAAGACUUAAAACGGCUAUGGUUAAAGAUAUGAUAAUGUGUCCAGAAUUUAGUCCUUCCGGUGGGUUCUUGGACUUGCUGACUUCAAGAAUGAAGCCGCGGACCCUCACAGUGAGUGUUACAGUCCUUAAAGAUGGUGUGUCUGGAGUUUGUUCCUUCAGAUGUUCAGAUGUGUCCGGAGUUUCUUCCUUCUGGUGGGUUCGUGGUCUCACUGACUUCAGGAGUGAAGCUGCAGGCCUUCACGGCCCUGGCAACCACUACUCUAUUUUAUGUCUCCAGGAUUUUGACUAUUCUAUGUACCUCAUAUCCAGCAUCCUUUGAAGCAUGAGUUCCCACAAGCAGAAGCAGCCCUUUACCUCACCCCCUCAGCUUCAACAGCAGCAGGUGAAACAGCACAGCCAGCCUCUCCCUUAGGAACCAUUUGUUCCCAUAACCAAGGAGCCAUGCUACCCAAAACUUGGAACCUGGAACCUGGAAACACCAAGAUUCCAGAGUUAGGCUGCACCAAGAUCCCUGAGCCAGGCUGCACCAAGGUCCUUGAGUCAAUCUCCACCAAGGUACCAGAGCCACAUCCUUCAACAGUCACUUCCGGCCCAGCUCAGCAGAAGUCCAAGUAGAAGUAAUGUGGUGCACAGACAAGCCCUUGAGAAGCUGACCACCAGAUGCUGGACACACUCUUCCUAUCUGCUUCUGUAUCUUAAUUGUCUGUAGACCUUGUAACCAAUACAUUGUCACCCCAAGUCAUAGUCUUUCUCUUAUUUGUAUUCUAAAAAUAUGCACUAUGAAGCUCCUUUUGCUUGCACACACUCUGAAGAAUUCUGUAAACCCCUGAGUUAAGCAGAAAGUCUUCAUGGUUUUUCUGGUCUUCAGCUGCUCAGGGUUCAUCUGAACAUUCGAAUGAAAAAAAAUGCAUAUAUCCUGCUCUGCCCUCAUUAAAUCACUUUUAACUCCA